rnacentral:ncRNA from 3 species
UCGCUUGGUGCAGGUCGGGA